UACGGAGGGUGCAAGCGUUACUCGGAAUCACUGGGCGUAAAGCGCGCGCAGGCGGCCAUUUAAGUUGGAUGUGAAAGCCUACGGCUCAACCGUAGAACUGCAUCCAAAACUAUUUGGCUAGAGUGUGGGAGAGGAAGAUGGAAUUAGUUGUGUAGGGGUAAAAUCCGUAGAGAUAACUAGGAAUACCAAAAGCGAAGGCAAUCUUCUGGAACACUACUGACGCUGAGGCGCGAAAGCGUGGGGAGCAAACGGGAUUAGAUACCCUAGUAGUCC
rnacentral:rRNA from 1 species